rnacentral:rRNA from 1 species
UACAUGGGGUGCAAACGUUGCUCGGAAUUAUUGGGCGUAAAGCGCACGUAGGCGGUUUGUUAAGUCGGAUGUGAAAUCCCUCGGCUCAACUGAGGAAGUGCACCCGAAACUGGCAGGCUUGAGUACUAAAGAGGGUCGCGGAAUUCCCGGUGUAGAGGUGAAAUUCGUAGAUAUCGGGAGGAACACCAGUGGCGAAGGCGGCUCACUGGCCCGGUACUGACGCUGAGGUGCGAAAGCGUGGGGAGCAAACAGG